AACCUCUCCGGUAGCUCUGUGGUUAGAGCGUCCACCUCAGAUUCAGGAGGUCGUGGGUUCAAACCCCGGCCGAGUCA